UUCAGACUUGUGUUCUUCCGAUAUGGAGGAAUUUGAUGGAAUGUUUGGGUUUCAGUCGAUACGACGAACUUGCAGAGUUUCUUCUCGACAGGUAAGCUAAACUUCAAUUUAAAAGUAUUCCU